CACCGAAAAUCGCCACUGGAACUGGUGCCGUUUGUUAAGCUUUAACCUGUCUUCAGUUUCCUUCUCCAUUAAAGUUCAUCUUUACCAUGAGAAUUGUGAUGCAGCUGUGUGCUAGGAGUUGCUGCAAGUUGCCGCUGCCGGAAUCACUACCAGGGCUGCCGCUUCAUGGUUCAGUCACUUCUUAUUUGCGAGUUGAUGUGGUUACUGCAAAAGUGAGCGAAGCUGUGAUUCAAGCGGCCGGUAAUUUCGGGUUAAGAGAGAAGGUUUCUGUGACGCGUUUGGACUGUGGUUUUGCGUUUUGAGGAUAAGGCGCAGCAGUUACGAAGAGCCUAUUUAAUUGUUGUUGUGAUGCUCUGUAUUGUUUUAGUUAUGGUUUACUAUACCCUCGUCUUUAUCUUGAUAUAAUCUGUAAGAGGGAUAGGAAUUGUAUUGGAU